GACGAACGCUGGCGGCGUGCUUAACACAUGCAAGUCGAACGAAGUGGCGAACGGUUGAGUAAUACGUGGGUACCCUGCUUUCCUCUUUGGGAUAAGCCUUGGAAACGGGGUCUAAUACCGAAUAAAGGGGGAUGUGCUCGCGGCCUAUGAGGUGGUUGGUGGGGUGAUGGCCUACCAAUGCGGGGACGGGUAGCCUGCCUGAGUGGGUGACCGGCGACAUAGGCACGGACAUGCGGCCUAGGCUGCUACGUGAGGGAGCAGUGGGGGAUAUGGCACAAUGGGCGAUGGCCCGAUGCAGCGACGCCGCGUGGGGGAUGAAGGCUUUCGGGUUGUAACCCUGUUUCGCUAUCGAAUGGGUAGGUGGAGAAGAAGCACCGGCUAACUACGUGCCAGCAGCCGCGGUAAUUC
rnacentral:rRNA from 1 species